GACGAACGCUGGCGGCGUGCCUAAUACAUGCAAGUUGAGCGCUGAAGGUUGGUACUUGUACCAACUGGAUGAGCAGCGAACGGGUGAGUAACGCGUGGGGAAUCUGCCUUUGAGCGGGGGACAACAUUUGGAAACGAAUGCUAAUACCGCAUAAAAACUUUAAACACAAGUUUUAAGUUUGAAAAAUGCAAUUGCAUCACUCAAAGAUGAUCCCGCGUUGUAUUAGCUAGUUGGUGAGGUAAAGGCUCACCAAGGCGAUGAUACAUAGCCGACCUGAGAGGGUGAUCGGCCACAUUGGGACUGAGACACGGCCCAAACUCCUACGGGAGGCAGCAGUAGGGAAUCUUCGGCAAUGGACGAAAGUCUGACCGAGCAACGCCGCGUGAGUGAAGAAGGUUUUCGGAUCGUAAAACUCUGUUGGUAGAGAAGAACGUUGGUGAGAGUGGAAAGCUCAUCAAGUGACGGUAACUACCCAGAAAGGGACGGCUAACUACGU
rnacentral:rRNA from 1 species